CGACGCUUUUAUGUGUCGAAUCAGUUAUUGACAAGAAAAAGCGUCGACAAAUUUGUAUGAUUUGCACGUGACUCAAGGCAACCCAAGGAAAAUUAAAAAGAAAAUAAAAAAAACAAAUGUAAAAAACCGGCUUAUACCCACGAAUAUACCCUAAGUACUCUCUCUCUCUCUCUCUCUCUCUCUCUCUAACUCUUACAUCUCAGCACCUCAACACAAACUCCUUCGUCACCGAAAUCCUCUUCUUCGAUCCCUCAAUUUCUGGAUUUUCUCUCCUCUUCUCAUGGUGCUCGAGGUUUCGAUUUCAAAAUUAGGGUUUUCAAUUUUUACUGACAUUCUAUUAUUCCCCUUUUUUAUUGGAAUUUUCAGGCAACUAUAAUCUGCAUCGUCAAUUCGGAGUGGAUUCGUAAUAGUGAUUCCUCGCCCUCCAGCUCAUUCUGAUGUUGUUAAUCUCAUCUACGGCGCUAAAACUCAGUGUUUGUAUGGAGGGGCACCCAAAGUCCCACAAUUGAAGGAGUUAGAUAGAGGAGUAGAUAUUGUGGUAGCUACACCUGGUCGUUUGAAUGAUAUACUAGAGAUAGAGAAUUAGCUUGAAUCAGGUCUCCUAUUUGGUGCUUGAUGAGGCAGAUCGGAUGCUUGUCAUGGGUUUUGAGCCAAAAAAUAGAAAAAUUGUGAAGGAGGUUCCCACUCGUCGCCAAACACUGAUGUAUAAUGCAACAUGGCCUAAAGAGGUCCAAAAGAUUACAGCUGAUCUAUUGUCAAAUGCUGUCCAAGUUAAUAUUUGUAACACAGAUGAACUUGUUGCAAACAAGUCUAUCACUCAGGGAUUUGGAGGCUUUGGCUACAAAAUGUGAGCUUAAGGAGGAAGAGAGAGGUUUCUGUAUAGUGGUAUACUGCUAUAGAUUAAGAAACCAUAAUUGUGGCUUUCGACGACUAGACGUGAAACGUGAAUAGUCAAGAAGAAAAAGGCUGUAACAAUUGCAGAUCCAUGAAGAUUAAUUGCUGAGUUGGUGGUACCCUGGUAUUUGGUAAUUCUGGUAUUUGAUUGCAGAUCAACCAGAUACAAAAACCCAUCUGGUAAUUCUGGUAUUUACAAUUCAUGUUGUUCUGCCUGACACGGCUGCUAUUCCUUGUCUCAAAUUGUUGUCAAAAGAUAAGAAGGUGCUUCUACUAGUUGAUAAUGCGGCAUUGUAGUGGAUAAUCAUGGACAGCCUGUUGGUGGUACCCUGGUAUUUGGUUGUUGUGCUCCUCGUUCGAUUGCUGAGUUGUCUUCAUAUGUGGUGAUUGCUAGUAAUGGAAAGAUGGAAUUAUAAGCUUGUGUGUGUGUGUAUGUGUGUGUGUAUAAGCCUAUAUUGUGUAAUGUACUAAUUUAUACUUUGUAUUUUUUUUUUAAGAUUGGAAAAGGCAAUGUAGGUGCAACAACAGAAUAGACCGGGACACUUGAGCAUCAAAACAAGCAACUACAUCAUCUAUAACGCCAUCAUCUAUCUAUUUUGGUUAUUAGUCUUAAUUAUAUUAGUGAUGUAUUAAUUUAGGGACAAGCUACUAUAAUAUGACUUUUUAAAAAAAAUAAUUAAUUGUGUUGAUAUUUUCGUUUAAAAUUUGGUAAUUUAAUCAA